rnacentral:rRNA from 1 species
CAUCUGGAAAGAUGAAUCAAAGAAGGUAAUAAUCCUGUAGUCGAAAAUGUUGUCUCUCUUGAGUGGAUCCUGAGUACGACGGAGCACGUGAAAUUCCGUCGGAAUCUGGGAGGACCAUCUCCUAAGGCUAAAUACUCUCUAGUGACCGAUAGUGAACCAGUACCGUGAGGGAAAGGUGAAAAGCACCCCGGAAGGGGAGUGAAAUAGAACCUGAAACCGUGUGCUUACAAGUAGUCAGAGCCCGUUAAUGGGUGAUGGCGUGCCUUUUGUAGAAUGAACCGGCGAGUUACGAUUUGAUGCAAGGUUAAGCAGUAAAUGUGGAGCCGUAGCGAAAGCGAGUCUGAAUAGGGCGUUUAGUAUUUGGUCGUAGACCCGAAACCAGGUGAUCUACCCUUGGUCAGGUUGAAGUUCAGGUAACACUGAAUGGAGGACCGAACCGACUUACGUUGAAAAGUGAGCGGAUGAACUGAGGGUAGCGGAGAAAUUCCAAUCGAACCUGGAGAUAGCUGGUUCUCUCCGAAAUAGCUUUAGGGCUAGCCUCAAGUGAUGAUUAUUGGAGGUAGAGCACUGUUUGGACGAGGGGCCCCUCUCGGGUUACCGAAUUCAGACAAACUCCGAAUGCCAAUUAAUUUAACUUGGGAGUCAGAACAUGGGUGAUAAGGUCCGUGUUCGAAAGGGAAACAGCCCAGACCACCAGCUAAGGUCCCAAAAUAUAUGUUAAGUGGAAAAGGAUGUGGCGUUGCCCAGACAACUAGGAUGUUGGCUUAGAAGCAGCCAUCAUUUAAAGAGUGCGUAAUAGCUCACUAGUCGAGUGACACUGCGCCGAAAAUGUACCGGGGCUAAACAUAUUACCGAAGCUGUGGAUUGUCCUUUGGACAAUGGUAGGAGAGCGUUCUAAGGGCGUUGAAGC